rnacentral:rRNA from 1 species
ACCUGAAAUCAAGCAAGAACACCCGCUGAACUUAAGCAUAUCAGUAAGCGGAGGAAAAGAAACUAACAAGGAUUGCCUGAGUAGUGGCGAAUGAAACGGCAACAGCUCAAAGUGUAAAUCUAUAGCAUACAGUUAUAGAAUUGUAAUCUAAAGGCUUUUUAGGGAAGUCAUGGUUCUAGCAUAAGUUCCUUGAAAGGGAUGCCAAGAGGGUAAAAGCCCCGUAUUUGGCUAGGACCGGACGUACCGAAGGGCUCCAAGAGUCGGGUUGUUUGGGACUGCAGCCCUAAAUGGGAGAUAAACUUCUUCUAAAGCUAAAUAUUUAUGGGAAACCGAUAGCAAACAAGUACUACGAAGGAAAGAUGAAAAGAACUUUGAAAAGAGGGUUAAAAGACUUGAAAUCGUUGAAAAGAAAAGCGGUAGAAGAGAAAUGAUUUCGUUUAGUAGUAUGUGGUAUGUAGUUGUCUUCUGCGGGGAUGGUACUUCAUAGGGCCUACUUGUAGACUGAUGGCGCAUAACUACUUUUGCUAAGCGGAGUGCAAAAUGAGGUCGGAUUCGUGGAAAGAGUUCUACGGAGGACGCUGGUCUUGAUACUGGUAGCCGUGGUUCAGAA